rnacentral:tRNA from 1 species
GUGGCUGUAGCUCAAUGGAUAGAGCUCGUUUCUGAGGCGAUGGUUGUGGGUUCGAUUCCCACCAGUCACA